UCAACUCCUCGCUUCUUCAAAGAUAAAAACAAAACCCUAAAGCCGCCCUGAUUUCUCCACUCCAGCGACGCCAUUCGCAAAUGACCCCAAAUAAAUACCACAUAACCAUCAUGACCCCCUCAUUACAAAUCCUUAUCCAGUUUCCCUUGAAUCUUACUAGAACUUCUCAGAUCUUAAAUCUAAAGUUCGAGCCCUAAGAGCCCAAAGCGAAAUCUAUACAUGGAAGGUUGUCCCUCAAAUUCUCCUAAGUUAUCAAGGCUUGGUUUAUCACAGAAUGAUGUUGUUCUCUUGUUCUUGACAAAGAAUAGGAAAUUUACAAUCUUUUGAGCUAACUCAGAACAUCUCCAGUGAUUUCGAGUUUAAAUCGAUGAGUUUUCUUCUUCGCUCUUUUGUUCGUUCUUUUGCCUCGCUUCUUCUUCGUCUUUUCUCCAUUUACUGAGCAUGCCCUCUGACUGAAAUUAGUUUCCAACUUAGUUCUUCCCUUAGGUAAAUUUGUUUUUUUGUUUGUAUUUAUUUCGUUUCAUUUUCAGUUUCUCUUUUCAAUUUUUUAAAACUUUGCUCGCUUUUGUUGAUCCAUUUUUUAUUUAGUUUUAGAUCUUAAGCUUCUGAUUUUCCCUUUUAUUUCUUUUUCUCUCAGUCUAAGCGCUUAGUUUAUCUGUAUUUAAUAACUUAAUUAACUCCUUGCUUACUUAUGUUCAAUAAUUAGUCAUUUGUUUAGGUUUUAGCUGUUGAAAUCAUUUUAGUGUUUCUCCAUGUUUGCAUUUAAUUACUGAUUCAGUUUGGGUCGCCUUUGCUGCUUAGGCCUUUAGGCUAAUUUAGACCUCACUCCAAGGGUUCGGUUGGGUUCUUGGGUCGGGUCUAAGCCCAUGUUUUGCUGAGCUAUUGGGUAAAUUCGACCCAUUUGGUCCAAAAGUAAAAGCAGUAGGUCUAGAGGUUAAUUUAGGAAAUCUAAGUAGGGAAUCUCCCUAUAACUGUAAUAGGAUGAUUCCUAGAAGCUUUCAUUGGGACCUAAAUGAAUAUUGAUUUUUUAAGUUAAGGGUAUUAAAGCAAGAAUGAAAAUUCAAAAAGGUUUCAAGUGCAAAACUGAAUUCUUUUAGAUUGCCCUAGAAUCUUUCCUGUAAAGGCAUUGUUAGUUCACUAACAAGGCAGAGAUAAAUUAGAGAUAAAAAAUCCCUGAAAAGUAAAAACAGCUGGCCUUUUAUUCAAGCUAAAAAACACUGAAAUUUGGCUAAAAAUUUGGUUUCUGGUUUCUUAUUUUGCUUCCUUUCGGUUUAUGGGAAUCUCUGGAUGAUCAAAAUCAAGUUAUUUGGGUUCUGUUUUUUUAUAUUUUUGGUUUAAAAUGGUUUGAGUUUGGGUUUUCAAAAGGCUGGGUUUGGAUUUGUUACUGUUACAUUGCUGAGUUCUGCUACUACUGUUUCCUCCUAGUCUCGAGCUAAAUUUCUGAUUCUAUGUUGUUGUAUUCAGGUGCAUGCCCUUGAAUCCUUUUUAAUAUGAGGCUCGAGUUGAAGAAUGAAAUGAAAAUAGAAGAUUGAAGCAUAGCAUCAAAUCAUUGGCUCAAUGUUCAUCCUUACUAUUCUUUCUAUUUCCCUAAUCCCUUUUGUUCUGAGUUGUUUAAGUGCAUUGUAUUAUAUUGACUAUUGGCAUUGCUCUUUUAAGAGUUGAAUUUGUCUUGUAUUAGUGGGGGACUCAAUUUUCUAGUAAAU
rnacentral:lncRNA from 1 species